rnacentral:rRNA from 1 species
UACGAAGGGGGGCUAGCGUUGCUCGGAAUCACUGGGCGUAAAGGGUGCGUAGGCGGGUCUUUAAGUCAGGGGUGAAAUCCUGGAGCUCAACUCCAGAACUGCCCUUUGAUACUGACGGUAUCUUGAGUUCGGGAGAGGUGAGUGGAACUGCGAGUGUAGAGGUGAAAUUCGUAGAUAUUCGCAAGAACACCAGUGGCGAAGGCGGCUCACUGGCCCGGAUCUGACGCUGAGGUGCGAAAGCGUGGGGGAGCAAACAGG